GUGCCAGCAGCUGCGGUUAUACAAAAAAUACAAGUAAAUUUUAUUAAAUUAAGUUAAAUUGAUAAGUAUUUAAUAAUAAAAAAAUUUUUAGGUGAAAUUUUAAUUUUUUUAUUUUUAAAAUUAAAAGAAAUGUUGAAGCUAAAAAAUUUUGUUAAUAAACUAGGAUUAGAUACCCUAUUAUAAAAAAAUGUAUUUUUGAAAAAAAUUAGAGUAGUAAUAGUUAUGGUCUUGAAACUCAAAAAAUUUGGCGGUAUUUUAGUCUAUUCAGAGGAACCUGUGGUAUAAUCGAUAAUCCACGAUGAAUCUUACUUAUUUUUGUUUUUCAAUUUGUAUACCGCCGUUAUUUAAAAAUUUUUUGAAAAUAAUAAUUUUUAUAAUUUUUUAUUAAAUAGAAAGUCAGGUCAAGGUGCAGUUUAUAUUUAAGUAUUUCAUGGGUUACAAUAAAUUUAUUUAUACGGAUUAAAUUAUGAAAUUAGUUUAUGAAGGGGGAUUUGGUAGUAAAUUUUUAAAGAUUAAAAAAUUGAUUUUAGCUCUAAAAUAUG
rnacentral:rRNA from 1 species